GUCUUUUUGAAAAUAAUAUAAGUCUAAUCUGCCCCCUGAUUUUAUUGAAGGGCUGCAGUAUAUUGACUGUACAAAGGUAGCAUAAUCAAUAGUCUUUUAAUUGAAGACUUGUAUGAAAGAUUUAAUGAAAUAUAGACUGUCUCUAUUUUAAAAUUAAAAUUUAAUUUUUUAGUAAAAAAGCUAAAAUAUAUUUAAAAGACGAGAAGACCCUAUAGAGUUUUAUAAUUAUAUUUAUUGAAAAAUUAUAUAUAAUUUUUAAAAAUAAUAAAUGUAAUUAUUUUAUUGGGGUGAUAGAAAAAUUAAUUUAACUUUUUUUAAAAAAAAAAUAACAUUGAUUAAUGAUUUAAAUGAUCCAUAAUUUAUGAUUAUAAGAAUAAAUUACCUUAGGGAUAACAGCGUAAUUUUUUUUUUUAGUUCUUAUAAGAAAAAAAGUUUGCGACCUCGAUGUUGGAUUAAAAUAAAAUUUAAAUGUAAAAGUUUAAAAUUUUUGAUCUGUUCGAUCAUUAAAAUCUUACA
rnacentral:rRNA from 1 species